AGAAACUUAGGUUAAUAUUUAAACCAGAGGCCUUCAAAGCCUCAAAUAGGGUACAAAACCCCUAGCUUCUG
rnacentral:tRNA from 1 species